rnacentral:rRNA from 1 species
AGAGUUUGAUCAUGGCUCAGGAUGAACGCUAGCGGCAGGCUUAAUACAUGCAAGUUGAGGGGCAGCAUGAUAUACGCGAGUAUAUUGAUGGCGACCGGCGGACGGGUGAGUAAUAGGUAGGAGACCUACCUCAUACAGGGGGAUAGCAUAGAGAAAUCUGUGGUAAUACCCCAUGAGGUUAUAUGAAUAGAGGCAUAUAAUCAAAGCAUAAGCGAUUAUGCGGUAUGAGAGGGGCCUACUGACCAUUAGCUAGUUGGUGAGGUAAGGGCUCACCAAGGCGAAGAUGGUUAGGGGUUUUGAGAGAGAGACCCCCCACAUUGGAACUGAGAGACGGUCCAGACUCCUACGGGAGGCAGCAGUAGGGAAUAUUGGGCAAUGGGCGAAAGCCUGACCCAGCCAUGCCGCGUGAAGGAAGACGGCCUUAUGGGUUGUAAACUUCUUUACUACGCGAAUAGAGGUUAGUACGAGAUACUAAUAGGAAGGUAGUGUAGUAAAAAGCACCGGCUAACUCCGUGCCAGCAGCCGCGGUAAUACGGGGGGUGCAAGCGUUAUUCGGAAUUACUGGGUUUAAAGGGUGCGUAGGCGGUUAAAUAAGUUGUCAGUGAAAGGCUACGGCUCAACUGUAGUAGUGCUGGCGAUACUGUAUAACUAAGGACAUGGGAGGGGUACCUGGAAUGUGUGGUGUAGCGGUGAAAUGCGUAGAUAUCACACAGAACACCGGAGGCAAAGGCGGGGUACUAGACCAUAGUUGACGCUGAGGCACGAAAGCGUGGGGAUCAAACAGGAUUAGAUACCCUGAUAGUCCACGCCCUAAACGAUGAUCACUAGAUAUUGGCGACAGACAGUCAGUGUCCAAGCGAAAGUGAUAAGUGAUCCACCUGGGGAAUACGGCCGCAAGGUUAAAACUCAAAUGAAUUGACGG